GUACUUGCUUUGGCAGCGCAUAUACAAGAACUGAAACAAUACAGAGAAGAUCAGCACAGCUCCUACACAAGGGAGGACACAACCUAUAAUAGGACAUAGCCCCAGAUUUU